GCAAGACCCACCACUGUAGGAUGGGGAACUGAGGCACAGAAAAAGCAAGUGGCACAUUUCAAGUGCUCAGCACCCAGCAGCUCCUGUUAUGACAUGUAUGGCCAGGUUUUGGGAUGUUCUGGGAGCUCUUUGGAAAAUUUGGGCCCAGUUACGGAUGCUGAACCAUUCUGAAAAUUCUGGCCUAUGUGAUUUGUCCAAAGUCACACAGGAAGUCUUUGGCUGAGACAGGAAUGAGCUCCAGGUCUUCAGAGUCCCAGUCCAACACCACAAGAGCAUCCUGAUAUUUUCUCUGCAAUCAUUACUCUGCUGUGAAAGAAAAGAUGUAUGCAGACAAGUGAAAUAUAACCAAGGGACUUUACAGAGAGCUACAGAGUCUUUGCAAUGCUGUCAGAUACAUGGAUUCAGGGUAAUUUCCAAGAUAUUACCAACCAAU